UUUCCGUAGGUGAACCUGCGGAAGGAUCAUUAUCGUAAAACCGAGGUGCGAGGGCUGUCGCCGACCUUUUCGGUCGUGCACGCCCGAGCGCUCUCACACAAUCCAUCUCACCCCUUGUGCACCACCGCGUGGGUCCCUCUCUGGCUCGUCCGGAGGGGGGCUCGCGUUUUCACACAAACUUGAAGUAGUGUAGAAUGUCCUUUUUUUGCGAUAACACGCAAUCAAUACAACUUUCAACAACGGAUCUCUUGGCUCUC
rnacentral:misc_RNA from 1 species